rnacentral:rRNA from 1 species
CCCUUAGAUGUUCUGGGCCGCACGCGCGCUACACUGACGAAUGCAACGAGCUUAUAACCUUGGCCGAAAGGUCUGGGUAAUCUCCAAAUUUCGUCGUGAUGGGGAUAGAUUAUUGCAAUUAUUAAUCUUCAACGAGGAAUGCCUAGUAAGCGCAAGUCAUCAGCUUGCGUUGAUUACGUCCCUGCCCUUUGUACACACCGCCCGUCGCUCCUACCGAUUGAAUGGUCCGGUGAAGCGUUCGGACCGUGGCCUUUGGACGGUUCGCCGUCUGUUGGCUGCGGGAAGUUCGUUAAACCUUAUCAUUUAGAGGAAGGAGAAGUCGUAACA